rnacentral:rRNA from 1 species
UGGGGAAUUUUGGACAAUGGGGGAAACCCUGAUCCAGCCAUCCCGCGUGUGCGAUGAAGGCCUUCGGGUUGUAAAGCACUUUUGGCAGGAAAGAAACGUCAUGGGUUAAUACCCCGUGAAACUGACGGUACCUGCAGAAUAAGCACCGGCUAACUACGUGCCAGCAGCCGCGGUAAUACGUAGGGUGCAAGCGUUAAUCGGAAUUACUGGGCGUAAAGCGUGCGCAGGCGGUUCGGAAAGAAAGAUGUGAAAUCCCAGAGCUCAACUUUGGAACUGCAUUUUUAACUACCGGGCGAGAGUUUGUCAGAGGAAGGUGGAAUUCCGCGUGUCGCAGUGAAAUACGUAGAUAUGCGAAGGAACACCGAUGGCGAAGGCAGCCUCCUGGGAUAACACUGACGCUCAUGCACGAAAGCGUGGGGAGCAAACAGG